CCCCAGCGCCACAAGUGGUUAUCACGAUUAUUGGGCCUAAAGCGUUCGUAGCUGGUUUGGUAAAUCUCUUGUGAAAUUGUUCGGCUUAACCGGACAGCGUGCAGGAGAGACUGCCAAGCUCGAGACCGGGAGGGGUUAGAAGUAUUCCAUGGGGACUGGUAAAAUGGGAUAAUCCAUGGAAGACUACCGAUGGCGAAGGCAUCUAACCAGAACGGAUCUGACAGUGAGGAACGAAAGCCAGGGGAGCGAACCGG
rnacentral:rRNA from 1 species